rnacentral:rRNA from 1 species
GACGAACGCUGGCGGCGUGCCUAAUACAUGCAAGUCGAACGCAGUGGGGACGGGUGAGUAACACGUGGGUAACCUCACAGCAGAGGGGAUAACACUUGGAAAAAGGUCCUAAACCGAUACUGAUGGAUGAAACCGCGGUGCCUUAGCUAGUUGGUGAGGUAACGGCUCACCAAGGCCACGCUGCAUAGCCGACCGGAGAGGGUGAUCGGCCUCACUGGGACUGAGACACGGCCCAGACACCUACGGGAGGCAGCAGUAGGGAAUCUUCGGAAAUGGACGAAAGUCUGACCGUGCAACGCCGCGUGAGUGAAGAAGGUUUUCGGAUCGUAAAACUCUGUUGUUAGAGAAGAGGUAUCUAACCAGAAAGUCACGGCUAAGUACGUGCCAGCAGCCGCGGUAAUAC